rnacentral:lncRNA from 1 species
GCGCACCGGACACGAGGACGGGGCGGGAGCCGGAGGGAUGUGCUGGGGACGGCCACCACCUCCCUGCCUCUAGCCCAGGGGCUCCUCCACCUCACCCCGGCCGCGGAGCCGGACUGGGAGGCAGAGCGGGGGGUGGCAACCAGGCACUCCGGGAAAUUAUCCGUUUUCACACAACCCGGGCUCAUCCCGUGGUCUGACAGAGGUAAUGUCCGGUAGCACCUUGGGGGGGCUGCUACUGGGGCACUACAAUCAGUGGCUUCUUACGCCACAGAGAAAACUAGGAGAUCAAAUAGGGAAAACAAACAAACAAACAAACAAGCAAACAAAAUAAAAAGACACAAAACCACCUUUUCGGCUGGAAACAGAGUCAUUGCUCCUGUUCAGUAAUAUCCCAGACAUGAGUAUGUAAUGUGUCCCUGAUCCCUGAUUCACUGUUUGCAGCGAUUGCCAAUGGGAGCGUUCGGGCUUUGAAGUUAUGGAAAUUGUCUUCGCAGGCAUUAGUCGGUAUUUUAAUAGCUCUCAUUCUGGCUCGCUUGCUGCAGGAUUUAGAAAAGCCAAAAAUUCAGCGCUCUUCCGGGGCAUCUAAAACGUUAGGUCCGUCCUCCGAGAGGCAAUUCAACGUGAGGCCAAGUGCGGAGAGACGAAAUGAGUGCAUGUGUUCAAAAUUACAUUUUCGGCAGAAAUUAAGAUCCACCGGUCCGCGUUUAAAUGCGAGUGAGCCGGGGAUGGCGGAGAGCGGGAGCGAAAAGAGCCGCCGGGACGCACGCAGGGCGCCCGCACCGCCGGACGAUCUGCGCCCCUUGCAAGUAGCUAAACCAAAAAUACAGCGCAGUUGCUAG